GAUGAAGAACGUAGCGAAAUGCGAUACGUAAUGUGAAUUGCAGAAUUCAGUGAAUCAUCGAAUCUUUGAACGCAUAUUGCGCUCUCUGGUAUUCCGGAGAGCAUGCUUGUUUGAGUAUCAGUAAACACCUCAACUUCCAUAUCUUUUUUGAAAUGGGAGUUGGACUUGAGUGAUCCCAACGCUUUUCCUCACCGAAAAGUGGCGGGUUACUUGAAAUGCAGGUGCAGCUGGACUUUUCUCUGAGCUAUAAGCAUAUCUAUUUAGUCUGCCUAAAAAACAGAUUAUUACCUUUGCUGCAGCUAACAUAAAGGAGAUUAGUUCUUGUGCUGACUGAUGCAGGAUUCACAAAGACAGGCUUCGGCCGACUUUGUAAACUCGAUCUCAAAUCAAGGAAGACUACCCGCUGAACUUAAGCAUAUCAAUAAGCGGAGGA
rnacentral:misc_RNA from 1 species